UACGUAGGGGGCGAGCGUUGUCCGGAAUUACUGGGCGUAAAGCGCGUGUAGGCGGAUGAGCAAGUCUGCUAUGAAAGCUCCUGGCUUAACCGGGAGUGGUCGGUGGAAACUGCUCGUCUGGAGGACGGUAGAGGUAGGUAGAAUUCCCGGUGUAGUGGUGAAAUGCGUAGAGAUCGGGAGGAAUACCUGUGGCGAAGGCGCCUACUGGGCCGGACCUGACGCUGAGACGCGAAGGCGUGGGGAGCGAACGGG
rnacentral:rRNA from 1 species